GCGAUUUGUGUGGUUUUGAUAGG
rnacentral:miRNA from 1 species